rnacentral:rRNA from 1 species
GACGAACGCUGGCGGUAUGCUUAACACAUGCAAGUCGAACGAGAAGGUUUUGAAUGAUCCUUCGGGUGAAAUUAGAACUGGAAAGUGGCGAACGGGUGAGUAACGCGUGGGUAACCUGCCCUAUGGAAAGGAAUAGCCUCGGGAAACUGGGAGUAAAGCCUUAUAUUAUGGUUUUUGUCGCAUGGCAAGAUCAUGAAAACUCCGGUGCCAUAAGAUGGACCCGCGUCCCAUUAGGCUACGUUGGUGAGAUAACAGCCCACCGAAGGCGACGAUGGGUAACCCGGUCUGAGAGGGCGAACGGUCACACUGGAACUGGAGACACGGGUCCAGACUCCUACGGGAGGCAGCAGGUGGGGAAUAUUGCG